rnacentral:lncRNA from 10 species
GAGAUGCACCAUUUCACAACUUCAGCAAAAGCCAAAGCAGCCAACAAAGCCACAGCCCUAUCGGCUGUACUGGGCUCUGCCUUUUGGGCAGCUCGCCGGCCACUCCCCAAAAGCAGAGCAUUCCAUCCUUUCUCUUUUUAAACCCACGUCAUCAUCUGAUCAUAAUGGAAAUCAAUCUCCUCAAACCACCAUGCAAAGGCGUAUCCAUGGCAACCUCAAAAGGAAGGACACAGAGAUGAUGCUUCAGUGGCUGCAGCAGGAAAAGUUAUUUCAAGCUUCCUUUACAUUUUCAAGUCCUUACUCCCACCCAAGCCAACACCAGCAUUCCCACCUCUCAGCAGAUAACCUUGCUGAAAAAGAAAACUGGCCCUAUUAGGGCCCACCCCUUCCCCUCUCCUCUGAGGACUUGAUUUAGCAAUCGUCUUUUCUCUUGUGUCUUCAUUGCACCCUGUCUACUGGAUCUUACAUGGCAUCAGAAAACCCAUAAACAAGACUUCCAUUCUAGGAAAAACAAGUCCCUGCUACCUCUUCCACAAGCUGCCACCAUUCUGUAUUCUUCCUUUCUCUGCUGAACUACUCAAAGU